AUUCAAAAAUAUAUAUACUGCAUGUGUGUGUAUUUAAAAAAAUAUACACAUUACACAUGUAAACUUUUUUUUUGAAAACAGAAUUUACUUGAACAGAAUUAUGAUUUAAUUUAAGGGUGUUUAUGAAGUAUGGUGGCUUGCAACAAUAACCAGCAUUGACAGUAAAGUGAUCAAAUGGUAGUAAAAGUGAUUGUAUUUCAUGUUAAAUGCAACGAUUACAAAGUAAAGCCCUUUCCAAGUUCCUCCAAACCAUUUACUGAAACGUACCUGAGAAAACAUCUUACAGAACCGAUUUCCCCUUUUAUUGUUUCCAUAGGCAUUGUAAAAAAAUUCAGUAUUCAGCAGCAAGUCCUUCCCCAAAGAAUAACAGCGUGGACUAUACCUCUAAAAAGGGCUGGAUUGGUUCACAGCGGGAAGGUUUUCUGGACGGGAGCCGCUCACACUAAACAUCUCCCCAGCGGAGCCCUAAAGAGCGUUUGACAGAAGAGCGGAAAAGUGUGUAAACGUGUGUGUUUGUCGGUGGUCCCGGUUAGCCGCGUGUUUGGCUGCUCUGACCUCCUGCCUCAUAAAAUAUAAUUUCUCACAUCACCUCUGAAUUACUGCCUGCUGAAACCUCGGCGGGAGCAGACGGCGGCGUUCAGAAAGGCCUGUGAUUAUUUUAGGCGCGAGGGCAGAGGAGCCCGCUUGGACUCUUCUCUAAUUAGAAACAUCAGGGCAGAACAUUUACAGAGACGCCAGGAAAGAGAAACUCCUGAACGAACACAUCACCUGCCCUCCAGCUGAGCUGAUUCAAAGGAGUCGAAUGGCGAGGAAUCGAAUCUUUUGAGACCAGACUUCUUUGCAACCGACUCGAAUCUUUCUCUACCAUUUUUUUGAAACCGAACUGAACAGAAAUAACUUUUCGAGAUGACCUCUGUAACCUCAAAAGUAAAUGUCAAAGAGAACAUCGACACCUUUGAGCGUCAGUCGUGUCUGUGAAAAGAAAGGAUUCGCAGAUGACCAGAAGGCUCAGUUUAAAGCGUCCUUGGUGAAUAAAAAGUAUUUGAAAAACCA